rnacentral:ncRNA from 2 species
CCCGCCGAAUCUGGAGAGCGGCGCCUGGUUCCAGGCGCCCACCGAAGGGGCUAACGGCUGGUGCUGCACCAGUCGGAAAAUCUCAGGUGUAGGGACAGAGGGGUGUAU